UGGCAAUGAUGAUAAAUUUAAGGCUUGUUUCUCAAAAUAUUCUGAGUUGUUGCCUAAGAGCUUUCACUGCCAGGCUUGAGAGCUAAUGCUGCUUAUUCCUUCCUUGUAUGUGUUAGCAU